rnacentral:rRNA from 1 species
GAGGGCGGGUGCUAUAAUGCAAGUCGAGCGAGCUUGCCUAGAUGAUUUUAGUGCUUGCACUAAAUGAAACUAGAUACAAGCGAGCGGCGGACGGGUGAGUAACACGUGGGUAACCUGCCCAAGAGACUGGGAUAACACCUGGAAACAGAUGCUAAUACCGGAUAACAACACUAGACACAUGUCUAGAGUUUAAAAGAUGGUUCUGCUAUCACUCUUGGAUGGACCUGCGGUGCAUUAGCUAGUUGGUAAGGUAACGGCUUACCAAGGCAAUGAUGCAUAGCCGAGUUGAGAGACUGAUCGGCCACAUUGGGACUGAGACACGGCCCAAACUCCUACGGGAGGCAGCAGUAGGGAAUCUUCCACAAUGGACGCAAGUCUGAUGGAGCAACGCCGCGUGAGUGAAGAAGGGUUUCGGCUCGUAAAGCUCUGUUGGUAGUGAAGAAAGAUAGAGGUAGUAACUGGCCUUUAUUUGACGGUAAUUACCUAGAAAGUCACGGCUAACUACGUGCCAGCAGCCGCGGUAAUACGUAGGUGGCAAGCGUUGUCCGGAUUUAUUGGGCGUAAAGCGAGUGCAGGCGGUUCAAUAAGUCUGAUGUGAAAGCCUUCGGCUCAACCGGAGAAUUGCAUCAGAAACUGUUGAACUUGAGUGCAGAAGAGGAGAGUGGAACUCCAUGUGUAG